rnacentral:lncRNA from 1 species
GCAGGUUUUCACUUAACAUAUUAAUUCCAGAGAAAUAAGAAAAAAGCUAUGUGAGAUUUCAUUAAAACUUGGCUUUAUUCCUAGUUUCAGGGGCUUGUGAAUGACCUGCAAGAUCACCUCCUUCAACCUCUGCCUCUAAAUCUUGUGGAGUCUAUAUAAUUUUAAAAAGAGCAUUUCUGCUAUUCUUAAAUUCCACAAUUUACCUUGGUAACCUAAAUCUCUGUAAGUCCACAGUGUCUACACUAAAACAUAUCUUUCCAUCCAAUUUAAACUUCUUCCAUUCUCAUGUGGUAAUUCCAAUCUAGAACUUUGUGUCCUGUCUCCAUUGGAGAUGAAGCUCAGAUGGCCAGCCACCCCUGUGCCAAGAAUCCAGGCUUUCUGAAUGCAAAAGUCAGAAAGGGUGCAGCGAUGUUUUCAGGAGACUUCUAAGACAAAAAUCUUUGAGGUUGAUUGCUAGGAAGCUUGGAGCUGCUUCUGAGGAUGUUCAGCAAGUUACAUCAGCAGAAUGCCCCUAAACCAUGACAACAUCCUUAUGUGUGGACUGGGAUGAGUUUUAUGAGUUACAACAAGCACGUAUGGAUAUAAUGAUGGUGUCUUUUAUGAUUCACCCUGACCAUUCCUUUGUGACUCCUCCCCUCAAAAACAUUCAGCGACUCAGAGUGGCAUUCCUAACAUCUUUGACACCUUGACUGGGUCAUUUAUUAUAACACCCUUUCCCCCCAGCCCUGCCAUGUGAUAAAAUUGUUUUCAUGUAAUAAAUAACAAGCAACAUAAU